rnacentral:rRNA from 1 species
UACGAAGGGGGCUAGCGUUGUUCGGAAUUACUGGGCGUAAAGCGCACGUAGGCGGCUUUGUAAGUUAGAGGUGAAAGCCCGGAGCUUAACUCCGGAACUGCCUUUAAGACUGCAUCGCUUGAAUCAUGGAGAGGUCAGUGGAAUUCCGAGUGUAGAGGUGAAAUUCGUAGAUAUUCGGAAGAACACCAGUGGCGAAGGCGGCUGACUGGACAUGUAUUGACGCUGAGGUGCGAAAGCGUGGGGAGCAAACAGG